AAAUUGAAGAGUUUGAUCAUGGCUCAGAUUGAACGCUGGCGGCAGGCCUAACACAUGCAAGUCGAGCGGCAGCGGGAAAGUAGCUUGCUACUUUUGCCGGCGAGCGGCGGACGGGUGAGUAAUGCCUGGGGAUCUGCCCAGUCGAGGGGGAUAACAGUUGGAAACGACUGCUAAUACCGCAUACGCCCUACGGGGGAAAGAAGG
rnacentral:rRNA from 1 species